CCUACGGGAGGCAGCAGUGAGGAAUAUUGGUCAAUGGACGCAAGUCUGAACCAGCCAUGCCGCGUGCAGGAAGACGGUCCUAUGGAUUGUAAACUGCUUUUGUACGGGAAGAAACACUCCUACGUGUAGGAGCCUGACGGUACCGUAAGAAUAAGGAUCGGCUAACUCCGUGCCAGCAGCCGCGGUAAUACGGAGGAUCCAAGCGUUAUCCGGAAUCAUUGGGUUUAAAGGGUCCGUAGGCGGUUUAAUAAGUCAGUGGUGAAAUCUGGUCGCUCAACGAUCAAACUCCCAUUGAUACUGUUAGACUUGAAUUACUGUGAAGUAACUAGAAUAUGUAGUGUAGCGGUGAAAUGCUUAGAUAUUACAUGGAAUCCCAAUUGCGAAGGCAGGUUACUAACAGUUGAUUGACGCUGAUGGACGAAAGCGUGGGGAGCGAACAGGAUUAGAUCCCCUGGUAGUCCACGCCGUAAACGAUGGAUACUAGUUGUUUGGAGCAAUCUGAGUGACUAAGCGAAAGUGAUAAGUUCCCCACCUUGGAGACA
rnacentral:rRNA from 1 species